rfam:Papio anubis isolate 1X1155 chromosome 7, whole genome shotgun sequence.
GUGUGACUUGUGGGCUUCCCUUUGUCAUCCUUCGCCUAGGGCUCUGAGCAGGGCAGGGACAGCAAAGGGGUGCUCAGUUGUCACUUCC